rnacentral:rRNA from 1 species
UGGGGAAUAUUGCACAAUGGAGGGAACUCUGAUGCAGCGACGCCGCGUGAACGAAGAAGGCUAUCGAGUCGUAAAGUUCUUUUAUAUGGGAAGAUAAUGACGGUACCAUAAGAAAAAGCCCCGGCUAACUACGUGCCAGCAGCCGCGGUAAUACGUAGGGGGCUAGCGUUGUCCGGAAUCACUGGGCGUAAAGGGUUCGCAGGCGGAAAUGCAAGUCAGGUGUAAAAGGCAGUAGCUUAACUACUGUAAGCAUUUGAAACUGCAUAUCUUGAGAAGAGUAGAGGUAAGUGGAAUUUUUAGUGUAGCGGUGAAAUGCGUAGAUAUUAAAAAGAAUACCGGUGGCGAAGGCGACUUACUGGGCUCAUUCUGACGCUGAGGAACGAAAGCGUGGGUAGCAAACAGG